GGAUCGUUGGUGAUCAUGGAAGGGUGGACCACUUGACAAUGCCCUUGUGAUAUUAUGAUUAUUGGUAUUGUCAAGUGGAAUACUUCUUGGGUGACCAUAGGGGUAGUUGGGGGAAUGAGCCUCUAGUGGUCACAAGAGGCUGGACUCGUAUUGGCCAUUCAAUUAUUGAUUAUUGAAUUGACAUUGCACAGAGUUCUAUCCGGUGCAUAAUAGGUGGGUCAAGGGUCCAAUGAAAUGAAAAUUUCAAAAGAAAUUAUUUUGAAUUGAUUUCGACAAAUAUUUGAAUACGAUGCAUCUAUAGCAUGACAUGAUGUCAUACGCUAUUAUUACUCAUACUCAUGACAUGCAUAAUUUUUGUUCACGAAGUAUUAGCUUAUGUAGUUCUUGCGCUGUAAGUGAGCAUGGAACUUCAUAGAGGUCCUAGCUAGCUGUGAAGCUCUUACGGGAUUUCGGAGUUUGAUAUAUACGGAUGACAACCUGUAGGGUUAUUUUGUGGACCUCAGCUGUAUUAUAUUUUGGGAGUCCUGUAUUUUGUGUGUGUGUGUGUGUGUGUACCUUUUGAAAUGGCCGCUUGAUACUUAUAUAGUCUCAAAAUAUAUAUGUUGAACUAUGGUUAUAUGAUAUUUGAUUUUGGUAUACUAUAUAAAUGUCAUAGGUGAUCAGGAGCGAAUAUGCAAGGAUAUACUCGUGAUGAUGCUUAUUUCAUUUUAGCAAGUGGAAAAAAAAUUAAUAUGUGGAA
rnacentral:lncRNA from 1 species